rnacentral:rRNA from 1 species
UACGAAGGGGGCGAGCGUUGUUCGGAUUUACUGGGCGUAAAGGGCGCGUAGGCGGCGGACCAAGUCGAGUGUGAAAGCCCCGGGCUCAACCUGGGAGGUGCGCUCGAGACUGGCCUGCUGGAGUUCGGGAGAGGAGCGUGGAAUUCCCAGUGUAGAGGUGAAAUUCGUAGAUAUUGGGAAGAACACCGGUGGCGAAGGCGGCGCUCUGGACCGAGACUGACGCUGAGGCGCGAAAGCGUGGGGAG